UCGAGAAUCAUUCGCAAUGGGCGAAAGCCUGACGAUGCGACGCCGUGUGAGCGAUGAAGGCCUUAGGGUCGUAAAGCUCUUUCGCUUGGGAACAAGAGAGGUUAGUGAAUAACUAGCUAAUUUGAGGGUACCAGGUAAAGAAGCACCGGCUAACUCCGUGCCAGCAGCUGCGGUAAUACGGAGGGUGCAAGCAUUAAUCGGAUUUAUUGGGCGUAAAGGGCGCGUAGGCGGAAAAGAAAGUCUUGUGUGAAAUCCCGGGGCUCAACCCCGGAACAGCACGGGAAACUCCUUUUCUAGAGGGUAGGCGGAGAAAACGGAAUUCCACAAGUAGCGGUGAAAUGCGUAGAUAUGUGGAAGAACACCGGUGGCGAAGGCGGUUUUCUAGCUUAUACCUGACGCUGAGGCGCGAAAGCAAGGGGAUCAAACAGGAUUAGAUACCCCGGUAGUCC
rnacentral:rRNA from 1 species